rfam:Triticum urartu cultivar G1812 contig6127, whole genome shotgun sequence.
CAAAUACUCCCUCCGUCCGGAAAUACUUGUCAUCAAAAUGGAUAAAAGGAAAUGUAUCUAGACGUAUUUUAGUUUUAGAUACAUCUCUUUUUAUCCAUUUUGAUGACAAGUAUUUUCCGACGAAGGGAGUAGAAA